GGUCGGAUAAGGCGUUUACGCCGCAUCCGGCAAAGGCGCCACGAUGCCUGAUGCGACGCAGGCGCGUCUUAUCAGGCC
rnacentral:ncRNA from 1 species